rnacentral:rRNA from 1 species
AUACGUAGGGUGCAAGCGUUAAUCGGAAUUACUGGGCGUAAAGCGUGCGCAGGCGGUUUUGUAAGACAGUGGUGAAAUCCCCGGGCUCAACCUGGGAACUGCCAUUGUGACUGCAAGGCUGGAGUGCGGCAGAGGGGGAUGGAAUUCCUCGUGUAGCAGUGAAAUGCGUAGAUAUGCGGAGGAACACCGAUGGCGAAGGCAAUCCCCUGGGCCUGCACUGACGCUCAUGCACGAAAGCGUGGGGAGCAAACAGGAUUAGAUACCCUGGUAGUCCACGCCCUAAACGAUGUCAACUGGUGGUUGGGGAUUUAUUUUCUCAGUAACGAAGCUAACGCGUGAAGUUGACCGCCUGGGGAGUACGGCCGCAAGGUUAAAACUCAAAUGAAUUGGCGGGG